rnacentral:rRNA from 1 species
GAUGAACGCUGGCGGCGUGCCUAAUACAUGCAAGUCGAGCGAACAGAUGAGGAGCUUGCUCCUCUGACGUUAGCGGCGGACGGGUGAGUAACACGUGGAUAACCUACCUAUAAGACUGGGAUAACUUCGGGAAACCGGAGCUAAUACCGGAUAAUAUAUUGAACCGCAUGGUUCAAUAGUGAAAGACGGUUUUGCUGUCACUUAUAGAUGGAUCCGCGCCGCAUUAGCUAGUUGGUAAGGUAACGGCUUACCAAGGCAACGAUGCGUAGCCGACCUGAGAGGGUGAUCGGCCACACUGGAACUGAGACACGGUCCAGACUCCUACGGGAGGCAGCAGUAGGGAAUCUUCCGCAAUGGGCGAAAGCCUGACGGAGCAAAGCCGCGUGAGUGAUGAAGGUCUUCGGAUCGUAAAACUCUGUUAUUAGGGAAGAACAAAUGUGUAAGUAACUAUGCACGUCUUGACGGUACCUAAUCAGAAAGCCACGGCUAACUACGUG